CCUACGGGAGGCAGCAGUGAGGAAUAUUGGUCAAUGGACGAGAGUCUGAACCAGCCAAGUAGCGUGAAGGAUGACUGCCCUAUGGGUUGUAAACUUCUUUUAUAUGGGAAUAAAACGUUCCACGUGUGGGAUUUUGUAUGUACCAUAUGAAUAAGGAUCGGCUAACUCCGUGCCAGCAGCCGCGGUAAUACGGAGGAUCCGAGCGUUAUCCGGAUUUAUUGGGUUUAAAAGGAGCGUAGGUGGAUUGUUAAGUCAGUUGUGAAAGUUUGCGGCUCAACCGUAAAAUUGCAGUUGAAACUGGCAGUCUUGAGUACAGUAGAGGUGGGCGGAAUUCGUGGUGUAGCGGUGAAAUGCUUAGAUAUCACGAAGAACUCCGAUUGCGAAGGCAGUUCACUGGACUGCAACUGACACUGAGGCUCGAAAGUGUGGGUAUCAAACAGGAUUAGAUACCCCUGUAGUC
rnacentral:rRNA from 1 species